CUCAGAUCCUGGUUCUGUUGGCUCUAGACGUGCUGUCCCUCCCAGCUCUGGGGGAUCCUAUGAGGAACUUGAGCCCAGAGAAGGCCAGUCACAGACCCAAGAUUCCACGGUGAGACAGAAUCAGCUUCUGCCUUUCUCAGAGCCUCAGGCUCAGGGGAGCCCCAGGGCCUUAGGGGGGAUGUGGAAUGAGACCAAGAUGCCACCCUGGAGAAUUGCGCUAAGCGGAGCUGUCGGCAAAAAUCCUGGUCUAUUCCAGGUAUGCCCGCCAGGCGGCGCAGAGGCACCAGAGACAGGCGCGGAACUCGCAGCGGGGUGGGCACCUUCCUCCAGCGCAAUUUUCCUUACCAAGUGGGGAGGGGGAGGUGGGCACGCUGUGCCUGCUCCGGGUCGGCGCCUGGCAACUGUGUACACGGUACACAGAGAGAGAGGAGGAUUCUGCCUCCACCGAGGAGAGAGCGUAGGGUAGCUGUUAACAGCUUGGACACAGGCACCAUACAGACCCGGUAGGAAAUCUGGACCCCGUUGGUGGCUUUAUCGUGUCACCCACCCCGACACCUGGCCUCUGACACGUGGAGUGGGUGCAAGGUAAGGCCCUCACUUCCCAGGGCUCUACAGAAAGCUGGAGUUGCUGGUGCUCUGUUCCUGUCUGGUCCCUUUUCCAGGUGGACGGUGGGCAACUCCCCCAGCAGAGAAGUCUCCAUCAGAGGGCAGGAAGGCCCAGCCACCACCUGGAGAAGGCUUGAGGCUGCGAUGGAAACCACCUCAAAACCCUUUUUGGAACAGGCAGGGCAUAAUGCAUGGACGAGAUGAACAGAGACUGUUUCCGACCAGCUGAGCCACCUGGACACAGUCGGUGCCGGAUGGUUGUCUUCUGAGCAUCUUCUGUGUGACCAAGAUGUGGAGGACGUAACAAUGAAACCAAGUCACUCCCAGUGUUACUCAAGUUAUGCAAACUGCUGUAACAGAGAAAUCCUGACAUCUCAACGCCUAAAUACGAUAGAAGUCAGUUCAACGUGUGCCCCAUUCAGUCAACCGACCGAGACGGCGUUAGUAAGCUGACAUCGAGGGGUCGGAAUCUCGCUGUGUGUGCGGUCCGGGGUCUGCCCUCUCAUCUCUCGGCUUGCUCACGGGGCCGGCGGGUCGCAUCGUACCCAGCUGAAGGACGAAACGACAGUGGCCGGCCAUCAGCGAGGAGGAGGAGGAGGGCCCGGCGGGAACCAGGACGCGGUUUCCUGGCUGCGCUCCCGGGGAAGGGGGUUUGCGCUGGGUCCCAUCCCCCGGCCGGUCCCGCUCAGGAAACGCGGAGAGAAAGCCAGGAACCAGGCCUGCCAGGCCCCGCGGCCCCGCGCCCGCCCUCCUCCCUGCCCUCCUCCGUGCCCCGGGUGGCAGGAAGCCGGCCGGCGGGAACGCCCUGCCCGGGCG
rnacentral:lncRNA from 1 species